UGCAAACAUUUCUAUCUGUGAUUGCUAGCUGUCAAAGAACCUUGACACAUGACCUCAUCAGAAAAAAUCAUACACUGGCGCGCGUGCACUGCAACAUUCGAGACACCGAGAAUAAAUAAUGGUUUUCGUUUGGUUGAGCCUGAUUUCGUCUUCUUAUUCGGAACCGGAAAUGAGGUCCUUGAUCACCUCAUUACUUUUUGCAAUUUACUUUUGGAUAAAUAGUGUUUGUUUUUUUGAUGUUGCUUGGAAACGAGACUCGAACCCAGGCCAUGCGGAAUGGUAGGGCCCACUGCUAACCACUACAGCACAGCGGCCUCCAAU